GACAGAGGUUGCAAACGUUGUUCGGAAUUACUGGGCAUAAAGCGCACGUAGGUGGUCCGCUAAGUCGGAUGUGAAAUUCCCCGGCUCAACCGGGGAACGGCAAUCGAUACUGGCGGGCUUGAGGUCCGGAGGGGUGAGUGGAACUCCUGGUGGAGCGGUGAAAUGCGUAGAUAUCCGGAGGAACACCGGUGGCGAAGGCGGCUUCCUGGACCGACACUGACGCUGAGGCGCGAAAGCUAGGGGAGCAAACGGG
rnacentral:rRNA from 1 species